rnacentral:tmRNA from 1 species
GGUAGUAUUGAGUUUAUUUUAGUCUGGAGUAGCGAGUCGUUGUCGCCAAGCAACGUAAAAAGUGGCAAACUUAAAUUAAACGCAAACGAUAAUUACGCACUAGCUGCCUAAGCGCAGCUCGUCUACUCUAACGGUCCUGCCCGUUAGAUGCUAGGCGUCAAGUAAGCAGGGAACUACUAUAGGGGGCUCUCCGACCUAUAGUGGAUAAAUUGGAGAUAGUGUAGUAGGAAGCCUGUUGCUAGGCGUCCUAUGAGGCGAUAACUCAAACUAGCAACUGCACUCGGAGAAGCUCUUUAUAAAAUGCUUUCGGACGUGGGUUCGAUUCCCACCGCCUCCACCA